rnacentral:pre_miRNA from 1 species
UCUUCAUUUCACGUGCUCUCUCUCUUCGGUCGAAGAGGCGAGAAAGCAUGUGAAAUGAGGAGA